AGAUAAAAAUUUAUGAUUUAAAAAAUUUAUUUUUAAUUUAUUUUACAUGUAAAUUUUAGUAUUAAAUUUUAAUUAUUUUAAUAAUAAUUGAGAUUUAUUUAUAGUAAUUAAUAUUAAAAAUUUAAGAGAUUAAGAUUUAGUUAUAUUAGAAUUAUUAACUAAUUUUGUGCCAGCAGUUGCGGUUAUACAAAAGAUAAAAUAAAUUUUUUCAGUAUAUAAUAAAUAAAUAAAUAAAUAAAUUAAAUAUUAAAUUAUUAGGUGAAAUUUUAAUUUAAUUAAAAUUUAUAAUUAUUUUAUGAAUUUAAUAAAUUUUUUUUUAAACUAGGAUUAGAUACCCUAUUAUUUGAAAUUUAAGUUAUAAUGCUAAAAAAGUAAAUAAAUUAUUAUUGAAACUUAAAUAAUUUGGCGGUAUUUUAGUUCAUUUAGAGGAAUCUGUUUAAUAAUUGAUAAUCCACGAAUAAAUUUACUUAAUUUAUUUAUUUUGUAUAUCGUUGUUAAAAAAAUAUUUUUAAAUAAAAAUAAUAUUUAAAAAUUAAAAUAAAAAAUUAAUUCAGAUCAAGAUGCAGAUUAUAAUUAAGAAUAUAAUGGGUUACAAUAAAUUUAUUUAAAUGAAUAUUAUUUUGAAAAAUAAAUUGAAAGUGGAUUUAAAUGUAAUUUUAUUUAAAUUAAUAAAAUGAAUUAUAAUUAAAAUAUGUACAUAUUGCCCGUCACUUUCAUUUUAAAAUUGGAAUAAGUCGUAACAAAGUAGAGGUACUGGAAAGUGUUUCUAGAAAGA
rnacentral:ncRNA from 1 species